AGUCGUAACAAGGUUUCCGUAGGUGAACCGGAAGGAUCAUUAACACGUAUCCAACGUUAAAACAACCCCUCCUGGUAAAUCAUUGUUGACCAGGGACUCUGCAGAUUGUGAUAUUUUCUAGCUACGGUUGAGCGAUUGCAUCUAGUGACCUAGCAUCAGUGUCGUUGAUUGUGUAAGGAUCGAUCGCUACGGCCGGCGACGGGCUCUGCCCCUUACGACAACUACAGUCUAACUUCGCCGCGCGUGAAAUUCGCACGGCACCAAAAACCGAACAACUGUUAACGGAUAUCUUGGUUCUC
rnacentral:misc_RNA from 1 species